UGGAAUUAAAUGAAUUAAUUAAAAGAUUAAAUCAUAAUUAAGUCACAACAAUGGCCCCCAACUCGGAUUGGAAACUCAGGCCCUGUACAGGGUGAGUUUGCUGGAAUUCUGUACAUGAAGGCCCAACUUCAGGCCCACCGCAGUGAGGGUGUGAAUUCCACCAAUGGAGGGGUGCCGGAGUUGAAUGUGAGGUGUGGAUAGGAGAGAGUUCGUUUGGGCCCAAACCUAAUCAUACGUGUUCAAAAGCCAUGAGUAUGAUUCUUGCUGAAACAAAUUUCUGCAAAGUCUGAGACGAAGAUGUAUCCCGGCAGUGACGAACAUCUGCGAACGACAAACAUCCGUUGCGUCUUCCUCCAUGCUCGGUUGUGAUCACCGGCGCCACCGCACCUCACUAGCGUUGUUCGACAUUACGUUCUUCCAAUACGUCAACGGCGGAUUCGUCUUUUUUUAUACCUUGCUCGAUUGCCAAUCCAACGUGAUAGUGACAGAGGACAAGCUUCCAUUACAAUCCAUUUCAAUAUCCACGACUCAAUUCACUAUUGUGUGCACGAAAUUGAAAAGGGACGAAGUCGAAAAUGAGGCGGAAAUUUACCGAAUCAGAGCUUCGCCGCAAACGGGUACGAAUGAACUCCUCUUCUUUGAUUCUAAUUCCUUUCUUCUCCUCCAAUACUCUUAUGCUUUCAUGUAUGCUACUAAGUUGUUUCUGUGUAAAAUCAUUGCGAGAUGGUGUGUGACGGAGGGGGAGAUCCACAAGUGAUUGACGAUUGAGAGAGAAGGAAUUGCAUCUUUUGCAGAUUCGAUGAAGAAGUUAUGACUCCGAAGAUGGAAACUCCUUCGAUCUGUGAGUGAAGGUUUCGAGUUGCAGAUUGAAGAUGUGAAUCGUAGACUGAACAAUCUCUGAGGAUGAGGGGAAAACUCUGAUGCAGAGUAUAGAAUAAGGAAGAAGGUGAUGCGAAAUCGAGGGAUUUGGGUGCAGAAGAAUCAUCAAGCAGAAGUGACGCAUAGAGGUUGAAAUGCUAUGGUAUGGAUCUGUCUUGACAUGAACUUGGGAUUAAAUUGCUAUUCAGUUUUAGGUUACUUUCGAAGUGAAUCCGAGAAUGAAUUUGAGUGUCAUUAUAAAUGAUUUCGAGCUGGUAUUCUUCUUGACUUCUUAUGUAGAAAGCUUAUAAGUAAAAUGGUCCUGUAUUGAAAUUAUAUAUUUUCUUGUCAGCAUGGUGUUUUCCAGCCAAGGAAGGUUCAUAUUGAAAUCCAUUUCUCUGUCAAACCUUAUGCAGGAAGUUAGAAGUAAAAAAACUUGUACUUGUACUGAUAUUCUCCUAUGUUAACUUGCUCAUUUUUCUUAAUUUGGAUGAUCAAA